GUCUGUCCUGUCUAAAUAAGUCUACGUGGAGACAAAGGCCUGUUUGUUCACGAAUACCUGUAGAAACGUUUGGAGCUUUUCAGGAGCAGAUGUGAAGAAGGUCAUUACUCAUCUCACAUCCACAGGUGUAGCUAUGCAACACAAACUCUUCACACAUGAAGAAAAGAAAAGAACGAAGUAAAGCGGAAGCAACUGUGUCCAGUGCUAGUGGGGAAGUCAAUGUGCAGUAUAAAAACUAUCAUUUUGAAGUAAUGCCUCUCUUACAUGAGUACAUCUCUGGGCUACUCUACCCACCUCUGGUCACAUCAAAGGGAUGAAGAUAAUGUGAGACCAUGGGUCUGACGGUUGAACCUGAGGUGGAGCUUUCAGAAGGAUAGUAGUCCUUAACACGCCAACAAAUCCACCAAAGAACAAUCACCUUGAAACUCCUCAAACAUCGUGUUUCUGAAGGAUAUUUGCAGGAAGUUUGGUCAAAAAGUUCAUCAAACUGGUGUCAGAGCCUGAAGGACAAUUAAUGCAAAACAAGAAGUAAUGUCUUCUGAUGGAGGCGAUUCUAGCUUCUGAUAACACCCAACAAUAUUUUUAC